UACGAAGGGUGCAAGCGUUACUCGGAAUCACUGGGCGUAAAGCGUGCGUAGGCGGUUCGUUAAGUCUGCUGUGAAAGCCCUGGGCUCAACCUGGGAACUGCAGUGGAUACUGGCGGACUAGAGUGUGAUAGAGGAUGGUGGAAUUCCUGGUGUAGCGGUGAAAUGCGCAGAUAUCGGGAAGAACACCCGUGGCGAAGGCGGCUCUCUGGGACGGUACUGACGCUGAGACGCGAAAGCGUGGGGAGCGAACAGG
rnacentral:rRNA from 1 species